rnacentral:rRNA from 1 species
AACGAACGCUGGCGGCAUGCCUAACACAUGCAAGUCGAACGAGACCUUCGGGUCUAGUGGCGCACGGGUGCGUAACGCGUGGGAACCUGCCCUUAGGUUCGGAAUAACUCCCCGAAAGGGGUGCUAAUACCGGAUAAUGUCUUCGGACCAAAGAUUUAUCGCCUUUGGAUGGGCCCGCGUUGGAUUAGCUAGUUGGUAGGGUAAAAGCCUACCAAGGCGACGAUCCAUAGCUGGUCUGAGAGGAUGAUCAGCCACACUGGGACUGAGACACGGCCCAGACUCCUACGGGAGGCAGCAGUGGGGAAUAUUGGACAAUGGGCGAAAGCCUGAUCCAGCAAUGCCGCGUGAGUUAUGAAAGCCUUAGGGUUGUAAAGCUCUUUUACCCGGGAUGAUAAUGACAGGACCGGGAGGAUAAGCUCCGGGUAACUCCGUG